GAUGAACGCUAGCGGCAGGCUUAAUACAUGCAAGUCGAGGGGCAGCAGGACUGUAGCAAUACAGUUGCUGGCGACCGGCAAACGGGUGCGGAACACGUACGCAACCUUCCUUUAAGUGGGGAAUAGCCCAGGGAAACUUGGAUUAAUACCUCGUAACAUUAUGAGAUGGCAUCCUCUUAUAAUUAUAGCUCCGGCGCUUAAAGAUGGGCGUGCGCCUGAUUAGGUAGUUGGCGGGGUAACGGCCCACCAAGCCUUCGAUCAGUAACUGGUGUGAGAGCACGACCAGUCACACGGGCACUGAGACACGGGCCCGACUCCUACGGGAGGCAGCAGUAAGGAAUAUUGGUCAAUGGACGCAAGUCUGAACCAGCCAUGCCGCGUGGAGGAUGAAGGUCCUCUGGAUUGUAAACUUCCUUUAUCUGGGAAGAAACCCAUAUUUUCUAGUGUGGUUGACGGUACCAGAUGAAUAAGCACCGGCUAACUCCGUGCCAGCCGCCGCGGUAAAAC
rnacentral:rRNA from 1 species